GACGAACGCUGGCGGCGUGCUUAACACAUGCAAGUCGAACGAAGUGGCGAACGGGUGAGUAACGCGUAAUCAACCUGCCCUUCAGAGGGGGACAACAGUUGGAAACGACUGCUAAUCCCGCAUACUGAAGGAGUGGAUUGCGUCUGAUUAGCUUGUUGGGGGGGGAACGGCCCACCAAGGCGAUGAUAACUCGCCGGUCUGAGAGGGAGAACCGCCAAAUUGGGAAUUGGAAAAGGGUCAGACUCCUACGGGAGGCAGCAGGGGGGAAUCUUCCGACAUGGAGGAAAGUCUGACGGAGGAACGCCGCGGUAGUGAUGACGGCCGUCGGGGUGGAAAGCUCUGUUAAGCGGGGCGCGGUACCGGAAUAGAAAGCCACGGCUAACUACGUGCCAGCAGCCGCGGUAAUUC
rnacentral:rRNA from 1 species